rnacentral:tRNA from 1 species
GGCGGAGUAGAGCAGCCUGGUAGCUCGCAAGGCUCAUAACCUUGAGGUCGCAUGUUCAAAUCAUGCUUCCGCCC